UGUCUUCUCUCUUCCUGCCUCUCCCUCUCCCUCUUUCUCUCCCCAGUCUGCGCAAAUAGAAAGACAGAAAGAAAAGACACAGUCCUCCCCUUCCCCAUUGGCCGGCAUGGCCGUGGACGGAUUUCCCGACCCCCAGCCAGCCAGAUCUCCUCUCAGAAACCGAACCCCACUCACACACAAACACCAUUGUUUCCCUGUCUAGAUCCGGCUCCGGCCAUGGACGGACGGCUCCCGCUCUGUCCUUGAGCUCAGUUGGAGAAGAAGCGUUCAGGAGCUGGAGGCAGCCAUGGCCGACCAGGAGGGAGGAGGUCAUUCAAGGAUCCAUCCAUCCAUCUCCAACUUUGCCAAAAUGAAGCAAACUGUUUCCUGUGAAAUUCCUUUGGACCGAACAGUUCAACUGCCAUUUAUCCUGUGAUGUUGUUUACUAUAUAUGUUUUGUAUGCGUGGAAAAAAUUAUUGCUUUAAUAAUCAAAAGGCAUGUCCUUCACUGCAUUAUCUUCUGGAAGAGACAUGUAUCAUGACUGGUGAGAUGCAGGCCUGCAAGAGUUGUAUCUGAAGGUUUGGAGAAGAAUCCGGCGAAAACUGGAAGGGCUUGAGGAUACCGUAUAUUGGAUGAACUAGUUAAUUAAUUAGUAUAUUAUUAAUUAUCUACUUGAUUCCUCUCAGUCAUAUGGCUUUUGUAAACUUUUGUGCUGAUGUGUGUGAAGGUACUACUGAUGAGCGCAUGCAUGGAUAGAUAAGGGUUGAUGGUGUGUUUGAAUGCUGUUUGUCAUGAAACCAAAUCCAUAGUAGUGCAUGUGCAUGUGGAUGACAAACUGAUCUGCCAGCAGCAUGGACACUUUAAGCUAGUGUUGUGUUGUUGUCGCCUGUCCUUGGUACUAGUUCUGUCGGCUGCUCGUACUUGCCAAUCAGUUAUGAUGCAAAUAAUGGAUUUUGUUUUUGCUUAACAGUAUAAUGGUG